ACGAACGCUGGCGGCGUGCUUAACCCAUGCAAGUCGAACGGUGAAGCGCUUUCCUUUUUGGUUGGUGUGGAUGAGUGGCGAACGGGUGAGUAACACGUGAGUAACCUGCCCCCUUCUUCUGGAUAACCGCAUGAAAGUGUGGCUAAUACGGGAUAUUCUGCGCCUGCUGCAUGGUGGGUGUGGGAAAGAUUGUGCCUUUGGGUGUUUUCGGUGGGGGAUGGGCUCGCGGCCUAUCAGCUUGUUGGUGGGGUGAUGGCCUACCAAGGCGGUGACGGGUAGCCGGCCGGAGAGGGUGGACGGUCACACGGGGACUGAGACACGGCCCAGACGCCUACGGGAGGCAGCAGUGGGGAAUAUUGCACAAUGGGCGCAAGCCUGAUGCAGCGACGCCGCGUGAGGGAUGGAGGCCUUCGGGUUGUGAACCUCUUUCGCCAGUGAAGCAGGCCUGCUCCUUGUGGGUGGGUUGACGGUAGCUGGAUAAGAAGCGCCGGCUAACUACGUG
rnacentral:rRNA from 1 species